GACGAACGCUGGCGGCGUGCUUAACACAUGCAAGUCGAACGGAAAGGCCUGCUUUCCCUUGUGGAUUGCGGGUACUCGAGUGGCGAACGGGUGAGUAACACGUGAGUGAUCUGCCCCCAACUUGGGUAUAAGCCUGGGAAACUGGGUCUAAUUCCCGAUAGGACUGCAGGGUGGUGCCUUUGGUGGAAAACGAUUUUCUAGUGGUUGGGGAUGAGCUCGCGGCCUAUCAGCUUGUUGGUGGGGUAAUGGCCUACCAAGGCGGCGACGGGUAGCCGGCCUGGGAGGGUGGACGGCCACAUUGAGACUGAGAUACGGCCCAGACACCUACGGGAGGCAGCAGUGGGGAAUAUUGCACAAUGGGCGGAAGCCUGAUGCAGCGACGCCGCGUGGGGGAUGACGGCCUUCGGGUUGUAAACUCCUUUCGACCGCGAGGAAGCCACCUGGUUGGAAGGGUGGUGACGGUAGUGGUAGAAGAAGCACCGGCUAACUACGUG
rnacentral:rRNA from 1 species